GACUGUGCAAAGGUAGCAUAAUAAUUUGCCUUUUAAUUGGAGGAUGGAAUGAAUGGUUAGACGAGGAUAAAACUGUCUCAUAUAUAUUUAUUGGAAGUUGAUCUUUAGGUUAAAAAGCCUAAAUUGCAUUAAAGGACGAGAAGACCCUAUUAAGCUUAAAAAAUACUAUAACUAUUACUAUAUUAUUAGAUGUAACGUUAAUAGUAAUAUUUUAGUUGGGGCGACUUGGGAGUAAGAAAAACCUCCUUUGGGUUGAAAUAGAGCUUAAUUUAUGGUCCAAAAGAUUUUGAGGUAAGAACAAGUUACUAUAGGGAUAACAGCGUAAUUUUAUUUGAGAGUUCUAAUCGAAAAUAGAGUUUGCGACCUCGAUGUUGGAUUAAGAAGUAAUGAAGGUUGCAGAA
rnacentral:rRNA from 1 species